CAUUCUAAAUGGAAUAGUUUGCAUCUACGAAGCCCAAACUCCCAGCCCAUCCCACUUCCUCCCCCUUGGCAACCGAAAGUCUGCUCUCUAUGUUUGUGAGUCUGUUUCUAUUCUGUAAAUAGGUUCAUUUGUGCCAUAUUUUAGAUUCCACAUAUAAGUGAUAUCAUGGUACUUUGUCUGACUGCAUUUAGAAUCUCUAGCUGCAUCUAUGUUGCUACCAAUGGCAUUAUUUCAUUUUUAUGGUUGAAUAAUAUUACAUUGUAUAUAUGUACCAUAUCUUCUUAAUCCAUUCAUCUGUCAGUUGACAUGUUGUUUCCAUGUCUUGACUAUUGUAAAUUGUGCUGCUGUGAAGGUACAGGUGCAUGACAUGAAAAUCUAGAUGAGUGUUUGAUGCUUUGAGUACAUGCAAAACACUUUAUAAUCUAAGUUGUAAUUUCUUGACCAAAGAUAAACACAUUUUUAUUAAAAAGUGAGACUUUUACUAACUGGGAAUAGAUAGCUGCCACACUGGAGUUUGGAAAACCAUGUUUAAAGCAGCUGGUCAAAAUUUUUCACGGAAAAAAAUUCUUUUCGCAGUGGAAGUGAAAUUCGUGAUAAAGUCAGUAAAAAGUGAAGGUAUGUAGGAAGGUUUGGGGAACCGAGGAAGGUGGUUAUUUUGACUAAAUGCAAACUUCCACUAAAUAUACUGGGUUUUUUUUAUUGCUUUUAAUGGAUGAUCCCUCUAGAUCCUUAGUGAGGGUUAUGAAUGUGAGACUACUCGAUUUUGUAACUGGACAUAGGUGGGAAAGUACAGUUGUUCAAUGUUAGCAAAUCCCUUCUGUGUUGACCACAAAGCAAACAUACACAGCCUUGAUUCCUUUACAAGGCUGUGUGUUGGUCAAGUUAUCAAUUGAUAACCUCCAUGAGUGUCUGCUCAGGGUGAACCAACUGUCAUUUCUGGGCUAUGGCUUCAUGCUUUCAGCAUUACUUAAUAAAUCUGAAAAGUCUCUAGAGAUUACAGAAUUCUGUAAUUUCCUUCAGCCAUAAUGAUAGAAUUUUACCAUAUUCUUUUUAUUUCUUUAUAUAUUUCACAAUUCAGAUACCGUUGCAUGUCUGCCAUAUCCCACAUGUUUUGAUAUACAUUAACUUUUCUCAGCAUCACAACAGUGCUGUAAAAUGGGUGUCAUUGUCCCUAUUUGGGUUUUGAGCUAUCUGAGGAUGAGGAAAGUUAAUGAGUUACUUAAUUUUGAACAGUUCCUGAUUGCUGGAAAUUAGAUUUAUAUUUGUCCUGCCUUUAAGUCCAGCCAUGUUUUUAAGUCUGUGUAUGAUGUCAAAAUGGAAAAAAAAAAUGUUGACGUUAUUCUCCAAAGUAUAUUUAAUUCUUUUCAAUGGCAUUAACGUUUGUUAUAUCAUAGAUCUUUUGCCUUUCUGGAAGCUGCUGCAUUUUGUAGUAGAAUCAGCUUUCUGAGUAGUGCCUUAGCAUACCUAAUAACCACAUAAAAUUAACUUCUUCAGAAAGUUAAGCAAUUCAUUCUUUGGCAGUAUAAUAGUAUCUGCCAAUUAUAUUUUUCUGCUUCAUUGAUAAAGCUAUUUUAUGUCAUCAAUAUUGAUAAAUGAAACAGAAGGCAGUCCAUUGAAUUUUUUCCUUGGUUUAUACAUAUGCUUUUCUUAAAGAUAUUUUGAAGGAAAAGCUAAUGCAGGAAAUAUUGAUUCAAUUCUUCAUCUAGAGGAAUAUGGAACUUAUUGACUUAGAGUGUAUUAUUUACCUUUACAGUGUAUUGCAGUAUUUUGUAGUUGUGUUUCAAAUCUUACUGUUUCUCAUAGUUUAGUCCAGAGUUUAUUUAUUUAUUUAUUUAUUGGACUGUACCUGAGGCAUGUGGAAAUUCCUGGGCCAGGGAUUGAAUCCAUGCCACAGCUGCAGCGACACUGGAUCCUUAACCUGCUGCAGGGAACUUUCAUGUUUCUCACAGCUUAGAAGAUGUUAAAAUAAAUUAUAAUGUCAUGGAGGCAAUUCAUAUUGACUUGAAUUGCUUUUUACUCUUUUUAACUUUAGGAGGAAAUCAGGAAAUUAGAAUUUCUAAGGAAACUUUUCAGUAUCAAAAUUAAGUGAAUUAUUUGGCAAGUGGAAAAAUAUACUAAGAGAAAGAAGGAAGAUUUUCCACAUUGGUUGGAUUUUAGUUACUAGGCUUGAGAAUAUAAACACCUUUGUGCAUGGGUUUUGUGGCAGAUGGGGGAGGGAGCUCUGUGGGGUUUUUGUUAUCAGGGCACUACUCUCAUUCUGGGGUGGCUCCACUCUCAUGACCGAAUCACCCCUCCAAAGCCCCUACCUCCUAACACCAUCCCACUGGGAAGUUAGGCUUACAACAUAGGAAUUUUGACAGGAUGCAGACGUUUCAAUCAUAGCAUUUAACAUUUAUUUCUAUCAAGUAAUGCAGUUAAAUUGGCCCCUUGAAAUAAGUAUCUGGCUAAAAAAUUAUAAUGCAUAUUAACCAAAUAUGUAGGCACAUUAAAACUUUUCACAUAAAGUAUAUAACUUAGGAAGAAUUUUGAACAAGGAUGUGUUUAUGAAUCUGUAGUUAGAUUAAUGUUGUUUCAUUUUACCCUUUGAAGACACAUCUCUGUUGCUCUCCUAGUACCCAGGAAACUAUUUCCUGGAUCUCUCAGGAAACAAAAAUCACUUUAAAUAGGAAUUUACAUUUUACAAUUUAUAAUGUGAUGCAAUUUAAAAUAGGUGUGUUCAAGAGCCUUUCUUGGCAUCUCUAGGACAUUCACAUAAUGUUAUAUAUAUUUUUUUCUGGCCACACCUACAGCAUGCGGAAGUUCCCAGCCAGUCAUCAAAACUUCCCCACAGCAGCCACCUGAGCUGCAUCAGUGAAAAUGCUGAAUCCUUAACCCACUGAACUCUGAAUAGUGGUUGAGGGAGACGAAGCUAUUUGCUUGCUUGCAGGAACUGGGCAUGGAGAGAGGAACUGCCCCUGAAGGAGAGAGUGCCUGGCUGUGAGUGCCUAGCUGUGCCAAAAAAUAGCAUGGAGGCCAGGGGAUAGGAGGUCAAGAAAAACAAGGGCCAGGUCCUCAUGGCUCUGUGAGUGAAUCCCAAGAGCCUCCACUCCAGUAGAAGGUGGCAGAAGGGACCUGCUUUGGUGGAUUUUAGAGGUUGGUUCUCUGCUCAUUUGGGCACAGACUGUGGAGGGGCAGUGGGCAGAAGGGAAGAGUGUGCAUGCUAAUGUCAGUUGUGCACCUGGGGUGGUCAGUGGGGAAGGGCAGAAGAUGUCUCCUGAUUGAACUGGACCUGGGCUAUUUGGGGGCAGAGCCUAAGGUUCCUUGGAGGUUUCCGCACCAGCAACUGGAAAGGUUGAGUUGCACUGAUGAGAAGGGUAGCUCUGGUUCUAGAAUCUGGUCAUCCAUCUUCAUCUGAAUCUCCUCAUUCCCCAUAGUCCCUGUUCCACAUGUUUUAGCUCCAGACCACACUCCUAAUCUGGUAAUAUGGCAGGAUCCCAAAACCAGGCAUUUUGCUUCCAGUUUGAGAAUUACAUCCUGUAGCCUCAAGCAAGGUGUACAAAAUUCUCUUAAUUCCACUCAUGGAUAAUCAGAAAAUGGCUUCGUCUAACCCUCCACUCCCAAGACUUUGACUCCCUAGGUUUUAGACCUCUGGGAAGCUGUUUUAUAGGUCCCACCCUUCCUCUGCAUUUGCCUACCUCCCUACUUCCCUGUAGUCUGAACUCCUUAGAGGCUCCAGUGGGACUACACCAGUCCACUUUACCCGCCCUAGCUUUGCUUCUUUGUAGGAGACUCUCUUGAUUUUACUGGUAGAGCUUCAGAGAGCUUGUUACUGUCUUUUGAGCUUUUUUCUCCUUCAGAGCCCCUGCCAAGGCAGUCACACCCAUUAUAUGUCAAGCUCAUUAAGUUCAUCUCUUUAAAGACUUUCCUACUCACCUAAUUGUUUCUGGCAUUCCUUUCCUAACAGGCAGGGCACUCUAAAAUCCCUUAUGCUAUUCUCAUUUAUAAUUAGCUCAACUGAUGAUUCAAUCACCCUUUGGGCUAAAUUCAAUGCAAUAAUUAUUGAUUAUCCUUUAUGUGAAAAGCCUGGGACAGGCUAAGGAGAUAAAGAUAUAGCCGAAGGCUGGAGUAGGGCUCACCCCAGAAAUGUUCUCUAAGCUAAGUGGAGCAUUUUGUUAUAAAAUAUAUAGAAAUGGGGGUAGCAGAAGCAUGCAUUCAGCUUUCCAAGGCCAUGGGGCUUAUUGAAAAAAUUCGUCAGGUUGUGUCUUGAAAAGUCAUCUGUGGCUGCGCAAAUGAAUAAAUGAAGCAGGAUUUUGCUGGGGGAAAAGAGUGUAUAAAGGCAUUCACGGAAGAAGAGUUAGAAAAGCACAAGUUCAAGAGUGAUAAAUCUUUCAGUACGCCACAAGCUUGAUGCACAGAGCAUGACGUUUUGGCCAGAACCUCAUCAAAGUGGGUCUGGCCUCUUAUUCUAAAGAACACUCUUGUUCUUUAAUGUUUUUUAAACUUACUAAAUGCCUCAAAAAAGAAAUGUAACCCAGCCAAGAGCAAAUGAGACUUUCUCAGGUUCUCUGGAUGAGAGCAGUUGUGAUUGGAAACCCAAGUCUGGGGGCUCUUCCUUCCCUUCCCCCGGGCCCGCCUCCAGACAAGUCCUCUGCAGCUUCACUAAAUUUAGCUUGACAGGCAAAAGCUGGAGGACAGGGGAUGGAAACAUAGGAUUUCCUUUCAACUGAAGAGUUACAUGUGAAUAUUUGCAUAGAUAGUUUUUCCUGGGAGCAGUGAGGAGAAUUGAUUUUAGAAGACAGGAUGCAGAAACCAGGAAUAAAGGCAGAGGUCAUUGCAGUAACCCGAGUCAGAGGGUGAAGCAGCGCUCCAGGAAUGCACGGUUGCCAGCUCAAGAUCCAGUCCUGCUCAGUCAUCAUAUGAACUUGUUAGUUUAAAAAUGGAACCUCAGUUGUACCAACUCUAAAACCAGGGCUCAGUGACCUACAUUGUUCUGCUUUUCAAGGCUCCUUUUCCUUGACUUGCCUAACCUUUUCUCUAGUUUUUGCCCAAAGGAUGUUAACUUAGUAUAAAAAAAGGAAAUUCCCCAAAUUAUAUACUAUAUUUUCUAAGAUAGAUGUGUUGGUAGUUUCACCACUGGGCUUGAAAUUUAGGAGAAAAAAAUACUAGCUUGCCUCCAUUUAUCUUGUUGUAUUUGCACCUGGCUUGGUUAAUAUGGACCAGUAAUGGCAAGUAACAGUAUUUCAGAAAACAGAAAAGGAAGGUCAUAAUUAACUGGUUGCUCUGGAGAAAAGGGGAGACAAGGGUUUUUGUCCCUAAAAUGACAAAUUCUCAGCUGGUUUGGUAAGUGGAGAACGAAGUUUUCUGUUCAUGAGUUGAAAUUUUUCUGCACUUGGUCAGACCUCCUGUGUGAUUUACAUGCAUACAAAUAGCCUUAAUUGAUUAACAGUUUAGAAGCAGGACUGCUGGGAUGCUGAAGGGGAAAAAAAGGUAAGGAUGAGCAGGGAACUAGGACUUUUGAAUUGAUCCAGGUGCAAGAAUUACACAGUCUAUAAUGGGUCAAUUAAAUAAUCUGUUCAGCAACUCCUUAUUUCCUUGCCAUGAAUUGGUUUAAUUAAAUAUGAAUUGAAGUAGAUUAUUAGCUGGAUCAAGUCUCUGGGAGCUUUGCACAGACAUGAGGAAAUUGUUAAGGACUUGCAACAUUGUUUAUAGAAGGACUUGAUAAUUUUUUUUUUUUUUUUUGGACUCUAAAGAAUCUGGGGCAAAAAUAAGUAGAAAUGUGAAAAGAAAUCAAAGCUAAUCACUUUUCUUCUUUUUAUAUUUCUGCCAAGAGACUUUUGUUGCCUUUCCAAGGCCAGUCAAGUGAUGUGCAGAAAGCAUGAACAGCUGAAAGCCUUACAGCCCAGGGAGUGGGGAAAUUUUCACAUGUAAUUCAAGUCUUGAUGUAGGAACAUAUUGUAAAGUUUUAUUAGAAUUUAAAAAAGAUUAUAGAAGAUCUCAUUGCUGAAGUUAUCUUGAAAUAGUAUUUGACAUAUUCAAAAUGUGUUUUUGGUGUUUGUUUUAAAUGCCUGGUUAUGUUUCUACAUAUUUUUUUCUUUUUUCUUUUUUUUAAAAAAAGAAGGAGUUCCCGUCGUGGCGCAGCCGUUAACAAAUCCGACUAGGAACCAUGAGGUUGCGGGUUCGAUCCCUGCCCCUGCUCAGUGGGUUAACGAUCCGGCGUUGCCGUGAGCUGUGGUGUAGGUUGCAGACGCGGCUUGGAUCCUGCGUUGCUGUGGCUCUGGCGUAGGCCAGUGGCUAUAGCUCUGAUAAGACCCCUAGCCUGGGAACCUCCAUAUGCCACGGGAGUGGCCCCAAAAAAUAGCAAAAAG
rnacentral:lncRNA from 1 species